rnacentral:rRNA from 1 species
GACCAGACUCCUACGGGAGGCAGCAGUGGGGAAUAUUGCACAAUGGGGGAAACCCUGAUGCAGCGACGCCGCGUGGGUGAAGGAGCGUUUCGGCGCGUAAAGCCCUAUCGGCAGGGAAGAAGGAGGACGGUACCUGACUAAGAAGCCCCGGCUAACUACGUGCCAGCAGCCGCGGUAAUACGUAGGGGGCAAGCGUUAUCCGGAUUCACUGGGUGUAAAGGGGGCGUAGACGGCGACGCAAGUCUGGAGUGAAGGCCCGGGGCCCAACCCCGGGACUGCUCUGGAAACUGCGGCGCUGGAGUACGGGAGGGGCAGGCGGAAUUCCUGGUGUAGCGGUGAAAUGCGUAGAUACCAGGAGGAACACCGGUGGCGAAGGCGGCCUGCUGGACUGCGACUGACGUUGAGGCCCGAAAGCGUGGGGAGCAAACAGGAUUAGAUACCCGAGUAC